GAUGAAGAACGUAGUGAAAUGCGAUACGUAAUGUGAAUUGCAGAAUUCAGUGAAUCAUCGAGUCUUUGAACGCACACUGCGCCCCCUGGUAUUCCGGGGGGCAUGCCUGUCCGAGCGUCAUUGCUGCCCUCAAGCACGGCUUGUGUGUUGGGCCUCCGCCCCCCGGCUCCCGGGGGGCGGGCCCGAAAGGCAGCGGCGGCACCGCGUCCGGUCCUCGAGCGUAUGGGGCUUCGUCACCCGCUCCGUAGGCCCGGCCGGCGCCCGCCGGCGACCCCCCUCAAUCUUUCCAGGUUGACCUCGGAUCAGGUAGGGAUACCCGCUGAACUUAAGCAUAUCAAUAAGCGGAGGA
rnacentral:misc_RNA from 1 species